rnacentral:misc_RNA from 1 species
UUUGACACAAGAUACAAGUACACAAGUUCUGGAUUCAACCGCCAGCCCAACCGGCAAAUCCAAAUAAAAAAUGGAAGUAGGUUAGGAAAUUCGUUAUUUUAACAAUCUUUAUUAAGGUUGUAUACAUUUAUUUCACCUCCAAAUUAUUUUAAUAAAAUGUCCGCCGAAAAAAUCGUUCUGGAAAUUGAAAACACCGAAGUCAUAUGUAGAAAACAGACACUUAUUGAAAACAGUGAUUAUUUCAGAACAAUGUUUGAAGGAAAUUUUAUAGAAAGAAAAAUGAAAAAAAUUAAGUUACAGGACGUCGACCUGAAAGCAAUGGAAAUAAUACUGCGUUUAGUCGAAAACAGAAGUUAUGCUUUUGAAAAUGAAGAUAUUCUGAUGAUUCUGCAUGUAGCUGAUAUGCUACAAUUCGUCGAAAUCUUCGACUCAAUUCUGCAUGAAAUCACGGAAAUCUUAAGCCCAAUACAUUGCUUGAAAAUUUGGCAAGCUACAGAACAAUUAUCGAUAAAACCACUUUAUCUCAAAGCCAAGUCAAUGGCAUUGGAUAAGUUCAUGGAGGUUAAAGAAACUGAAUGUAUACUGGAACUCUCCUUAGGAAGGCUAUGUGGUUACGUUGGGCAUGUGCAUUUACGUGCUGAUAAUGAAUUUCAUGUGUUUCAAACAGUUAUGAACUGGUGGCAGGCAAACAACAACUGGAACCUGGAAAAUUGUGAUGUUACUUUGCUCAAGCUGCUCAGUUGCAUUGAUUAUCAAAACCUAGAUGACGGGUAUAUCAAAGAGAUGAUGGAGUAUUCUGGUAUUUCAGACAAUAACACGAUCAAAGAUAUACUGUUGUGUUUAUUCAAUCUAAGGAAUGGUUUUGCAACUGAUGGGUUUUCGCAGAGCUGCCAAGAGAAAGCCUCAUUAUUAUUGAACUCAACCAGAAGUAGGAGUAUUGCUAGUUGCCCUUGCAUUCUAGUCAAAACUAAGAGCCCAUAUGAUGAUGGUUUUAUAGAGGAAAAAUCAGAAUCGGAGAGAGAGAAAACUGAAUUUCAUGUUCUAUAUUAUGGAGAGAUUGGAUGGUUGGAAGUGAAAAUCGAUAGUCCAGCCUUGCGGUUUGAACCACUGGUUCACACAGCGGUCGAUUGAAUGAGUCGAGCAAAUCACCCACGUCAACCCACCUAGCUACCGUCCUUUGGAUAAAAAUACAAAAAAGAACAAGAAUUUGCAAAAGAAACCGAAAAUAUAAAAUGAGGAGAUCACUAGUCUAGUCCAAUUUCAUGUUGAGGAAAACGAAAGAAAGAAUCUACAGAACAGUUGAAAGAGCAACACUCAUGUACGCAAGUGAGACAUGCUUACUGAAAAAGUCAGAUGAGGAAGAUUUAGAGCGAUGGAAAAAAAAAUUUCCAGGGCUCAGAAAAUGAGAUGGUUAGUGCAUGUGGAAAGGAUGACUAGAACCAGACUAACAAAAUUGGUUCUCUACAGAAAACCUAUUGAAAAAAUGAGUAGAGGAAGACCUCGCAAAAGAUGGAUGAACUAUGUGGAAGGCAAUUUGAAAUGGUUAACCGUAAUGGACUAGUGAAAUUAAGCAAAUGAUCGAGGAAUUCGGAGAAGAAUUGUGAAUGAAGCAAAGGAGAAAUUAUAAAUAAAAGGUUGUAAAUU